AGAAUACAAGAUCUACCCAUAUGAAGCCCUUGUGGUGUCAGUCAGAGGGCAGCAGCGCCUCCCCAGUGAUGUGGACCGAGCCAGACUAGAGCGUCAUCUCUCCCCAGAGGAGUUUUAUAGAGUCUUCGGCAUGUCCAUGUCUGCCUUUGACCGUCUUGCUCAGUGGAAACAAAAUGAACUGAAGAAACAGGUCAGACUCUUCUGAGAAAAGUCAACAGAUUCUUUCACUGAACCCAGCUUGAGUUCGUGGCUCAGUGGAAGAAGAACUGAACAAAAUAAGAAUGCAGAAGAGAGAUGUUCUUGGCUUGUUGUAGCUGCUGUGUGUUCGGACUUCUUAAGCAAUGUUUGUGAAGUUUGCCAAGUGGGCAAAAUUGAGGAAAAAUCCCCACCAAGAAGGGAAGACUGAGUGGUAGAAGACUAAAAGAGGAGCAGAGAGCUUCACUGGAGCUACAACGGGUUGCUUGUGCCUCUCCUACCAGCAGAUGGCAGUGUGUUUACACGAGCGUUAGAGUUUUUGUCUGAACUACUGAUGUGCUUUUUAAGAAACUCCAGGUCUGCCAAAAAACGUGCAUUCUUAUGAAGUAUGUCAGCUGUUUGGAAGAUGGUAUAAAGAAUCUAGUUUUAGGGGGUGAGAGUUGCUGCAGAGUCUGAUAAACUGGCAAGACAAGUAAAUGAGCACUGUGUGAUUCUCAGCAUUGGGGUUACUGAACAUGGUGUAUAAAUAAUGUGUUUUUAUAAUGUGCACAUCUUGAAAACCAAAGGUUUUCGUCUACAUUUUUCAAACAACAUGUUUGAUUUUUGAUGUCAGUAUUUCUGAAGCCAUAUUACAAACUUCUUUUCUACACGUGCAAGCAGACUGGACAGUCCAUCGACGUUUACUUUGAAAUGACAUUUGACAUAAAUGAGCUGCGUCAUGGCUCAGAGCUGGAAGGUGUUAGUUUAGAAGUGGGGGUUUAGUACUAUACACUUUAAAAUAAGAUGUUUGCGUUUCACUUAUAUAUGGAAAUCCAAGUUUUUUGUUCGUAUUUGCACUUAUUCUCAAGAAACAAGCCCGAAUUUCAGAUGCUGGACUACAGUUGAAACACUGUUUUUCUGACGUGUAGUGUACGUGUGAGGGUGUGAGUGUAUGACUGAUGAUAGUAAACAGUUAAUCAAGGAAUUUUUUUUUAUUAAUAUGUAAAAGCCAUCUGAAUAAAGUGAAGAACUCUGAAUACAAGGAAUGCCAAGAAAGGAAAUAUUGAAGGAAGAAAUGUACAAAAAAUAUGAAGUAAAGGUUUGUGUUUGUGAUUAACAGAUGCAAUAUGUAGUGUCUGAGCUUAAAGGGGUCUAAUUAAAACAAAAGGCACUGGAUAGUUGUUGCAAAGAAUGACUCAAGUUUGUUUUAACUGGCUGUAAAAGGUGAAAUAAUGCCAUUGAACCAAGUGGAGGGUUUUUGUGUUUACAGGCUGCAACAAUUAAUCACAUAUACAACGUUUGCCUUUUUGUUUAUUGGAGUUUUCAUUUACAGCCUAAUGUCUUUCACUGCUACUCUUAAAUAAAUGAUGCACUGAUUUA